rnacentral:misc_RNA from 1 species
CAAGCAUGUGGCUUCUCUCAUGAUAUAAAUCAAUGAACGAGUUCUCAAAACGAGAGUUGUUAAGUACAUUGUGUGGCGAAUUCUUUAAAGCUUACCUGAAUUAUAUCAUCAAAUAUGGAGAAACACCCACCUCCAUACCAGCCCUAUGAAGGGACGGGAUCACCCCCACAAGCAUAUGCACAACCCCUACAAGGACAUGGACCACCACCCCAGGGGUACGAACCACCACCACACCAGGGGUACGGGCCACCAUCACCCCAGGGAUACGGAACACCACCCCAGGGAUACAGACCAUUACCCCAGGGAUACGGACCACCACCCCAGGGAUACAGACCACUACCCCAAGGUUACGGACCACCACCCCAGGGAUACGGACCACCACCCCAGGGAUACCGGCCACUUCAGCCCUACCCUCCUCCGAUGAUGCAGCAGCAAAGAAGUACCAACGUCGUUGUUGUCGGCGGUGGUGCUGCGCAACAGACUGUUGUAGUUCAGCAGAGAGAGACCGUCAAUCACUGCCUUCACUGCUGUAUCUCCAUAUUCUUCCCACCGUGGAUUUUUGUGUGGAUAUGUCUGUGUAUAUGUUACGACUGCUAAACAACGCGAAUCAACACUGCAGCCACUGGCUGUGAUGGGCUAGACGUUUUGCAUGAUGCCUGAACGGAAUAUCUGCGAUUACAUUAUAACACCCCAAUGUGACGAAAUGAUAACA